rnacentral:rRNA from 1 species
GUGAGGAAUUUUCCGCAAUGGGCGAAAGCCUGACGGAGCAAUGCCGCGUGAAGGAUGAAGGCCUAUGGGUUGUAAACUUCUUUUCUUAGAGAAGAAUAUUGACGGUAUCUGAGGAAUAAGGAUCGGCUAACUCCGUGCCAGCAGCCGCGGUAAUACGGAGGAUCCAAGCGUUGUCCGGAUUUAUUGGGUUUAAAGGGUGCGUAGGCGGAUCUUUAAGUCAGUGGUGAAAGCCUGCAGCUUAACUGUAGAAUUGCCAUUGAAACUGAAGAUCUUGAAUGUGGUUAAAGUAGGCGGAAUGUAUCAUGUAGCGGUGAAAUGCUUAGAUAUGAUACAGAACACCGAUAGCGAAGGCAGCUUGCUGAACCAUUAUUGACGCUGAGGCACGAAAGCGUGGGGAGCGAACAGGAUUAGAAACCCCAGUAGUCC